UAACUUCACUGGCCACUCCUCAGAUGGCUGUUAGAGAUCCUUCCUGGGUCAUGGCUGCCUAAAAUGCAUCCAAACAUUCAGUGUCUCCUCCCUCUGCAUGCAGACACUGAAUUUUCCUCAUAUAGAUUCAUUGAUUCAAUUCAUCUCUAUGAGGAGAUGCUGAUUGGCCAGGGCUGUCUUUGAAUUGUGCUGGCUCUGCCCCUGAUCUGCC